rnacentral:rRNA from 1 species
UACGUAGGGGGCAAGCGUUGUCCGGAAUCAUUGGGCGUAAAGAGCGUGUAGGCGGCCAGGUAGGUCUGGUGUGAAAACUCGAGGCUUAACCUCGAGAUGUCAUCGGAAACCAUCUGGCUAGAGUCCGGAAGAGGAGAGUGGAAUUCCUGGUGUAGCGGUGGAAUGCGCAGAUAUCAGGAGGAACACCGAUGGCGAAGGCAGGUCUCUGGGCCACUACUGACGCUGAGAAGCGAAAGCAUGGGGAGCGAACAGG